AGGGCCGGUAAACACUGCGGUGUGUUU
rnacentral:sRNA from 1 species